rnacentral:rRNA from 1 species
ACGCUUCUUUCCUCCCGAGUGCUUGCACUCAAUUGGAAAGAGGAGUGGCGGACGGGUGAGUAACACGUGGGUAACCUACCCAUCAGAGGGGGAUAACACUUGGAAACAGGUGCUAAUACCGCAUAACAGUUUAUGCCGCAUGGCAUAAGAGUGAAAGGCGCUUUCGGGUGUCGCUGAUGGAUGGACCCGCGGUGCAUUAGCUAGUUGGUGAGGUAAGGCUCACCAAGGCCACGAUGCAUAGCCGACCUGAGAGGGUGAUCGGCCACACUGGGACUGAGACACGGCCCAGACUCCUACGGGAGGCAGCAGUAGGGAAUCUUCGGCAAUGGACGAAAGUCUGACCGAGCAACGCCGCGUGAGUGAAGAAGGUUUUCGGAUCGUAAAACUCUGUUGUUAGAGAAGAACAAGGACGUUAGUAACUGAACGUCCCCUGACGGUAUCUAACCAGAAAGCCACGGCUAACUACGUGCCAGCAGCCGCGGUAAUACGUAGGUGGCAAGCGUUGUCCGGAUUUAUUGGGCGUAAAGCGAGCGCAGGCGGUUUCUUAAGUCUGAUGUGAAAGCCCCCGGCUCAACCGGGGAGGGUCAUUGGAAACUGGGAGACUUGAGUGCAGAAGAGGAGAGUGGAAUUCCAUGUGUAGCGGUGAAAUGCGUAGAUAUAUGGAGGAACACCAGUGGCGAAGGCGGCUCUCUGGUCUGUAACUGACGCUGAGGCUCGAAGCGUGGGGAGCAAACAGGAUUAGAUACCCUGGUAGUCCACGCCGUAACGAUGAGUGCUAAGUGUUGGAGGGUUUCCGCCC